UACGGAGGGGGCUAGCGUUUGUUCGGAAUUACUGGGCGUAAAGCGCGCGUAGGCGGAUUUGCCAGUCAGGGGUGAAAUGCCAGGGCUUAACCUUGGAACUGCCUUUGAUACUGCAAGUCUGGAGUACGGGAGAGGUGAGUGGAAUUCCGAGUGUAGAGGUGGAAAUUCGUAGAUAUUCGGAGGAACACCAGAAGCGAAGGCGGCUCACUGGCCCGAUACUGACGCUGAGGCGCGAAAGCGUGGGGAGCAAACAGG
rnacentral:rRNA from 1 species